rnacentral:rRNA from 1 species
UACGUAGGGGGCUAGCGUUGUCCGGAUUUAUUGGGCGUAAAGGGCGCGUAGGCGGGAUGGCAAGUCGGUCGUGAAAUCCUUCGGCUCAACCGAAGAACGUCGAUCGAUACUGCUGUUCUUGAGGGUUGCAGAGGAGACUGGAAUUCCCGGUGUAGCGGUGAAAUGUGUAGAGAUCGGGAGGAACACCGGUGGCGAAGGCGGGUCUCUGGGCAAUUCCUGACGCUGAGGCGCGAAAGCGUGGGGAGCAAACGGG